rnacentral:rRNA from 1 species
UACGUAGGGACCAAGCGUUUGUUCGGAUUUACUGGGCGUAAAGGGCGCGUAGGCGGCGUGACAAGUCACUUGUGAAAUCUCCGGGCUUAACUCGAAACGGCCAAGUGAUACUGUCGUGCUAGAGUGCAGAAGGGGCAAUCGGAAUUCUUGGUGUAGCGGUGAAAUGCGUAGAUAUCAAGAGGAACACCUGAGGUGAAGACGGGUUGCUGGGCUGACACUGACGCUGGACAGCGCGAAAGCUAGGGGAGCAAACGGG